rnacentral:tRNA from 1 species
UCCGGCUUAGCUCAGUUGGUAGAGCAAGUGGCUGUUAACCACUGGGUCGCAGGUUCGAGUCCUGCAGCCGGAGCCA